GAGAAUGGUUGUUAAAAACAAAAACUAUUGAUGAUAUAAAUAAUCCACAUGAUGCAGUGAAUUUUACUUUAAGAUAUUUUUCUUUCGUUUCCUUUGUGUAAAAUCCCGGGGAUUACCCUGGUGUCUGUGCUUUCACUUUCACUGUGUUUUUAUUUGCCUGUGAUCUUAUUCAGGCUACAUAAAGCUCGCUGAACACCUCAUAUAAUCAGAUUCCUUCACACACUCACCUGUGCUCUCCAAAGCAGGUAAGGCAAACAGUCUGAUUCAGACUGAAAGUUUAACUUCUUCAUGUGUGGUGAUUGUUGUUGCUGCUUUCAUUGGAGACUCUGGUGAACUGUGUGAUCCACUCUGUGCAUACGUUAUAUCAUAGUUGGAUUAUUGAUCAGCAGACUUUAUGAAGGCUUCAGUUUAACAAGCUGGUGACAUUCAAUUGUUCACAGAGGUUUUCUGUCAUUCAGCUAAACUAUAAAAACCACGUGGACAAAAUAAUAGAAACAGUGAAAAUCUGAGUUGAUGUGUCUUUGUUCACUUUGAAGAUCUUUAAAACAGAAUAAUAUCACUGUGCUACAGCUACACUGGACUUGGUUCUUCUCCAGGUCGCAGAAAGAAGAGCAGCUUUGUGUUCCUGAGCUGAUUAUCGACUAAAUAUGGACAAAGAGGAACUCGAAUUCUUCCGGGCUCUGAGAGCCAUGGCUUUUUUAGAGGCGUUGGAAAUGCAAGCGGAAAUGCUGAAAAGGCUGGCUGCUGCAUGUUGCCCUGAAAGUCCCAGGAGCUCUGCUGAAAGGAAAAGAUUAAUAAACCUUGCAAUAGAAAACUGCAAGGAUGAAACUGUCCUGCAGUGGCUGAGAGAAAAUUCAGAGUCUGGCACCUUCAGAAAACUCUCAGACAUGUUUGAUUUCCUGAAAAGUAAAAUUGAUGAGGAAGAAAAGAAGAACCAUGAUGACACUGUUGACAUAAUCUUUGUGGCACAUGGAGCAAUCAGAGACUCCAUGAUCCCAGCCAAGUGUUUGCUGCCUCUGCCCACCAUCACUGACCUGGUCCUGUACUCUCCCUGGAACUGUGCCACCACACCUGAAGUGACCUAUGGCAUUGCAACAGGAAAAAUGAGGCCACAGCACAGAGUUUUUCACCGAAGACUUCCACUACCGUUUUUUUUCCACGGUGCAAUUGUUGUUCACAACUAUCAACCCCUGAACCUGCCAAACUACUGGAACUCACUGAAGAAAGCUGGAGGACGGAAGAUCCCAAACAUCAUUGUUAGCCCUCUGCAGGAAGAUGAAAGAGUGUGGAAAAAAUUUAAGUCUCUCUCAACAAAACAUGGUCCACCAGGACGAAACCGCAUCGUCAUCCCGUUCAUCCUCCCAGAAGAGAGUGAAAGUGUCCCGUUCUCUGUCGUCGCCUUGGCUCUGUCCCUGGUGCUCCUCUCUUCCAGGUUUAAAGCCACCGUUCACUUUAAUGCCUGUCUGAGUGAUAAGUCUACAGGACAGAAAUGUGACAGGAAGUAUCUGCAGGAGCAGUACUACUGCACUGAAGACAACACUGUGAUGACAUGUUCACCAGAUGCAUUCAGUGUGAACUGGUGGGAUUAUUUUAAGAGUCUGUUUAGUUAGAUGCACUCAUC
ensembl:lncRNA